rnacentral:rRNA from 1 species
UACGUAGGGUCCAAGCGUUAUCCGGAAUCACUGGGCGUAAAGCGUGCGUAGGUGGCGCGUAAGUGUGAUGUUAAAUCGCGGGGCUCAACCCUGUCGAUGCAUCGCAUACUGGCGUGCUAGAGGGAAGCAGAGGCAAGUGGAAUUGGUAGUGUAGCAGUGAAAUGCGUAGAUAUUACCAGGAACACCAAUGGCGAAGGCAGCUUGCUGGGCUUCUUCUGACACUGAGGUACGAAAGCGUGGGGAGCGAACAGG